GGCCUCACGCUCCGGACAAUCUGUGAAAAAACCAUAGUGAAUAAAACAUAUCAUGACACUUGUUUUUUGAUAUCUUUGGUCAAAUUAUUACCUGGAGAAUCUUGGAUCUUUGCGACUCUUUCAUCACCUCGACCUUUCCGAAGCAAGACCCGAGUGGUUGAAGCGUGUGCUAAGAUAUGCCCUCCAACCGGUUUGCGUCCAUCUGCGCCUGCAAAAAGGGCACUCGCGCCAGGAUCGCUCUGUACCUGAUUUGUCUGUGUUGUGGGAUAAGCAUGAAUACCAAGAAGAGUUAAGCUUUCUCUGUUCUUCGAGGUGCAUACCAUCAAAACGCAAACGUUAAAUUCUGGAGCGCGAAUUGUGAGCCAAGACAGUCCAUGGAAGAUGCAGAGCGAUAUCGUCAUACACACCUUCUGCCAUGUGCGCGAGUUUCAUUAAGAACUGGUUCAACUUUUGCUGUCGAUCCGCUAGUUCCCCACGCCCACAGUAAUCGACGCGGAAACAGUUCAUUAUGCUAUCGAUGAUCAAUAGGCGGUACUCACCACCCACAAACUCCUUUGACAAUGUGUUCAGAAGUUCCAGCUGGUGCUCGCUGUUCAGUGCUCUAGCAUAAGCAAUAUUCUCCAACGCGGAAUCAGGGUCAACACCAAACCGCUCCGCAAUUUGUGCGAUUCUUUCAGGCCGGAAUGUGCCUUCUGUAUCGAUAUAGGCCACUUUCCCUUCCGCACCGCCCAUGUCCUUUGGCAGCUGAGCCAUGACGGACAUCGUGUGCGAAAGCUGUGUUUUACCACAGCGAAACUCGCCAUAUACCUCGCUGAUACUCAUGCUCUGAAAUCCACUGCACAGAGGCUUGAGUCAAUGUCUCUACUCAAGGACCUUCACGCUCGGGAUAAUGCUAAACACACCCUGCCAAGAUAGAGUCGAAUUGCUUGCUCCCUGUGGAAAUUUUUACAACUCGCUUCCUCUGGUGGCCUAGUUCCAUUGCAGUUAUGAAACCAGAAGCUGAGGGCUACGUGUAUGUCCAUGUUAGUCAAAAAAAAAAAUAGAUUUCCCUAUGCCACCAGUGGCAACCGCUGGACGAGCGAAACAAUUUUGGAAGAGAGGUACAUACCUGGCAUUUCUGAAUAGCCUCUUUAAUUUUCUCUACCUUGACUUCACUGAAGCCCCUGAUUUUCAACAACGUCUUUCUCGUGGCUCCAUGAACAGACUAGAAUAUAUCCGAUCAUCCCCAUUUCCAUUGCCACGAAUGUUAGUCUUUUACUAAUUUCAAAUACGACUAAGACACGUAAAAUGAGAGUAGUGGGACUGCCAUCAUUAAUUAAAAGGUAAGGAAGGAGAAUAGUGAAUGAGGUUUGGAAACUAAUCCCGUACAGCAACAGUAUAAAAUCCAUUUGCUUUCAGUUUCGUAAUAUCUGCAGCUCCCACCCCUUAACACACGAGGACCACCAUAAAAUUGCUGUUAGCUGAGCUGUUUUUAUCCUUCUGGUAUGAAAAAUGGCCUGAUAACUGAGAAGAGGAGGUAGGAACUAACCAUGAGCUUGGAUACCGUCGAUAUCGACGAUGAAGACAUCCUGUAGAACAAUGGAUAGAUGUAGGGUUAAUCGAAUGUGGCCUCUUCGAUAGUACCUCAACCGCGAUGGGAAUCAAGGCUCUUUCUCACAUCAUCAAACUCAUCGCUGGCAUUCGACGCAGGCAUGGCUUUUGCUUGCUACUGAGCUAUCUACCGUCGUCCGUAAAUGGAGAUUUUGGAUCGGAGGGAAAUAUUUAAAGAACUUGCAGAUAUGGCAACGUACAAUGCAGUAAGAUUGUGGAAGCAGUCUAGAGCGGCAAAGUGAUAAACUGAUAUCGA
rnacentral:sRNA from 1 species